rnacentral:rRNA from 1 species
ACUAAGCGUACACGGUGGAUGCCUAGGCAGUCAGAGGCGAUGAAGGGCGUGCUAAUCUGCGAAAAGCGUCGGUAAGGUGAUAUGAACCGUUAUAACCGACGAUACCCGAAUGGGGAAACCCAGUGCAAUUCGUUGCACUAUUGCAUGGUGAAUACAUAGCCAUGCAAGGCGAACCGGGGGAACUGAAACAUCUAAGUACCCCGAGGAAAAGAAAUCAACCGAGAUUCCCCCAGUAGCGGCGAGCGAACGGGGAGGAGCCCAGAGUCUGAAUCAGUUUGUGUGUUAGUGGAAGCGUCUGGAAAGUCGCAGGGUACAGGGUGAUACUCCCGUACACAAAAACACACUUGCUGUGAACUCGAUGAGUAGGGCGGGACACGUGACAUCCUGUCUGAAUAUGGGGGGACCAUCCUCCAAGGCUAAAUACUCCUGACUGACCGAUAGUGAACCAGUACCGUGAGGGAAAGGCGAAAAGAACCCCGGCGAGGGGAGUGAAAUAGAACCUGAAACCGUGUACGUACAAGCAGUGGGAGCACCUUCGUGGUGUGACUGCGUACCUUUUGUAUAAUGGGUCAGCGACUUAUAUUUUGUAGCAAGGUUAACCGAAUAGGGGAGCCGUAGGGAAACCGAGUCUUAACUGGGCGUCUAGUUGCAAGGUAUAGACCCGAAACCCGGUGAUCUAGCCAUGGGCAGGUUGAAGGUUGGGUAACACUAACUGGAGGACCGAACCGACUAAUGUUGAAAAAUUAGCGGAUGACUUGUGGCUGGGGGUGAAAGGCCAAUCAAACCGGGAGAUAGCUGGUUCUCCCCGAAAGCUAUUUAGGUAGCGCCUCGUGAACUCAUCUUCGGGGGUAGAGCACUGUUUCGGCUAGGGGGCCAUCCCGGCUUACCAAACCGAUGCAAACUCCGAAUACCGAAGAAUGUUAUCACGGGAGACACACGGCGGGUGCUAACGUCCGUCGUGAAGAGGGAAACAACCCAGACCGCCAGCUAAGGUCCCAAAGUCAUGGUUAAGUGGGAAACGAUGUGGGAAGGCAUAGACAGCCAGGAUGUUGGCUUAGAAGCAGCCAUCAUUUAAAGAAAGCGUAAUAGCUCACUGGUCGAGUCGGCCUGCGCGGAAGAUGUAACGGGGCUAAACCAUGCACCGAAGCUGCGGCAGCGACGCUUAGGCGUUGUUGGGUAGGGGAGCGUUCUGUAAGCCGUUGAAGGUGACCUGUGAGGGUUGCUGGAGGUAUCAGAAGUGCGAAUGCUGACAUAAGUAACGAUAAUGCGGGUGAAAAACCCGCACGCCGGAAGACCAAGGGUUCCUGUCCAACGUUAAUCGGGGCAGGGUGAGUCGACCCCUAAGGCGAGGCUGAAAAGCGUAGUCGAUGGGAAACAGGUUAAUAUUCCUGUACUUGGUGUUACUGCGAAGGGGGGACGGAGAAGGCUAGGCUAGCCGGGCGACGGUUGUCCCGGUUUAAGCAUGUAGGCGGAGUGACUUGGUAAAUCCGGUUGCUUAUCAACGCUGAGGUGUGAUGACGAGUCACUACGGUGAUGAAGUAGUUGAUGCCAAGCUUCCAGGAAAAGCCUCUAAGCAUCAGGUAACAUUAAAUCGUACCCCAAACCGACACAGGUGGUCAGGUAGAGAAUACUCAGGCGCUUGAGAGAACUCGGGUGAAGGAACUAGGCAAAAUGGUGCCGUAACUUCGGGAGAAGGCACGCUGGCAUUAGGUAAAGGGACUUGCUCCCGGCGCCGAAGCCAGUCGCAGAUACCAGCUGGCUGCAACUGUUUAAUAAAAACACAGCACUGUGCAAACACGAAAGUGGACGUAUACGGUGUGACGCCUGCCCGGUGCUGGAAGGUUAAUUGAUGGGGUCAGCCGCAAGGCGAAGCUCUUGAUCGAAGCCCCAGUAAACGGCGGCCGUAACUAUAACGGUCCUAAGGUAGCGAAAUUCCUUGUCGGGUAAGUUCCGACCUGCACGAAUGGCGUAAUGAUGGCCAGGCUGUCUCCACCCGAGACUCAGUGAAAUUGAACUCGCUGUGAAGAUGCAGUGUACCCGCGGCAAGACGGAAAGACCCCGUGAACCUUUACUAUAGCUUGACACUGAACAUUGAGCCUUGAUGUGUAGGAUAGGUGGGAGGCAUUGAAGUGUGGACGCCAGUCUGCAUGGAGCCAACCUUGAAAUACCACCCUUUAAUGUUUGAUGUUCUAACUCGGCCCCGUAAUCCGGGGUGAGGACAGUGUCUGGUGGGUAGUUUGACUGGGGCGGUCUCCUCCCAAAGAGUAACGGAGGAGCACGAAGGUUAGCUAAUCACGGUCGGACAUCGUGAGGUUAGUGCAAAGGCAUAAGCUAGCUUGACUGCGAGAGUGACGGCUCGAGCAGGUACGAAAGUAGGUCUUAGUGAUCCGGUGGUUCUGAAUGGAAGGGCCAUCGCUCAACGGAUAAAAGGUACUCCGGGGAUAACAGGCUGAUACCGCCCAAGAGUUCAUAUCGACGGCGGUGUUUGGCACCUCGAUGUCGGCUCAUCACAUCCUGGGGCUGAAGUAGGUCCCAAGGGUAUGGCUGUUCGCCAUUUAAAGUGGUACGCGAGCUGGGUUUAGAACGUCGUGAGACAGUUCGGUCCCUAUCUGCCGUGGGCGUUGGAAGAUUGAGAGGGGCUGCUCCUAGUACGAGAGGACCGGAGUGGACGAAUCACUGGUGUUCGGGUUGUCAUGCCAAUGGCAUUGCCCGGUAGCUAAAUUCGGAAGAGAUAACCGCUGAAAGCAUCUAAGCGGGAAACUUGCCUCGAGAUGAGUCUUCCCUGGGGCUUUAAGCCCCCUGAAGGAACGUUAAAGACUAUGACGUUGAUAGGCUGGGUGUGUAAGUGCAGCGAUGCAUUGAGCUAACCAGUACUAAUGAUCCGUGAGGCUUAACC